GAGUGACCGCUGGCGGUAGGCCUAACCCAUGCAAGUCGAACGGCAGCACAGUAAGAGCUUGCUCUUACGGGUGGCGAGUGGCGGACGGGUGAGGAAUACAUCGGAAUCUACUUUUUCGUGGGGGAUAACGUAGGGAAACUUACGCUAAUACCGCAUACGACCUACGGGUGAAAGCAGGGGAUCUUCGGACCUUGCGCGAUUGAAUGAGCCGAUGUCGGAUUAGCUAGUUGGCGGGGUAAAGGCCCACCAAGGCGACGAUCCGUAGCUGGUCUGAGAGGAUGAUCAGCCACACUGGAACUGAGACACGGUCCAGACUCCUACGGGAGGCAGCAGUGGGGAAUAUUGGACAAUGGGCGCAAGCCUGAUCCAGCCAUACCGCGUGGGUGAAGAAGGCCUUCGGGUUGUAAAGCCCUUUUGUUGGGAAAGAAAAGCAGCAGGUUAAUACCCCGCUGUUCUGACGGUACCCAAAGAAUAAGCACCGGCUAACUUCGUG
rnacentral:rRNA from 1 species